rnacentral:rRNA from 1 species
CAGCCGCCGCGGUAAUACAGAGGGUGCAAGCGUUAAUCGGAAUUACUGGGCGUAAAGGGCGCGUAGGUGGUUGCGUAAGUGAGAUGUGAAAUCCCCGGGCUUAACCUGGGACGUGCAUCUUAUACUGCGUAACUGGAGUACAAGAGAGGGUAGUGGAAUUUCCGGUGUAGCGGUGAAAUGCAUAGAUAUCGGAAGGAACACCAGUGGCGAAGGCGGCUACCUGGCUUGAUACUGACACUGAGGCGCGAGAGCGUGGGGAGCAAACAGGAUUAGAUACCCCCGUAGUCCCUGUCUCUUAUAC